UCCCAAUUAUCUCGGGCAGUCCUCUGUGACAUGUAAAACACAGAGCAAGGGUUGCGUUCGUUACCCGAAUUAACGGUACGUCUCAAGACACGAACUGACGACAACCAUGCAGCACCUGUCCAUACGUCUUGCGAGGUCCCAACUUUCAUCGGGAUUUCGUAUGGAUUUCUAGUCCUGGUAAGGUUCUUCGUUUGUUGUCGAAUUAAGCCACAUGGUCCACUGCUUGUGUGAGUCCCCGUCUAUUCCUUUGAGUUUUAGUGUUGCCACCGUACUUCCCAGGCGGGAUACUUAACGCGUUAGCUUCGACACUGGCAGGGUCGACACUGCCAAUAUCCAGUAUCCAUCGUUUACAGCGUGGACUA
rnacentral:misc_RNA from 1 species